rnacentral:rRNA from 1 species
CAGUAGCCGCGGUAAAACGGAGGGUGCAAGCGUUAAUCGGAAUUACUGGGCGUAAAGCGCACGCAGGCGGUCUGACAAGUCAGAUGUGAAAUCCCCGGGCUUAACCUGGGAACUGCAUUUGAAACUGUCAGGCUGGAGUCUUGUAGAGGGUGGUGGAAUUCCAGGUGUAGCGGUGAAAUGCGUAGAGAUCUGGAGGAAUACCGGUGGCGAAGGCGGCCCCCUGGACAAAGACUGACGCUCAGGUACGAAAGCGUGGGGAGCAAACAGGAUUAGAUACCCGUGUAGUCCCUGUCUCUUAUAA